rnacentral:rRNA from 1 species
AUUGAACGCUGGCGGCAUGCUUUACACAUGCAAGUCGAACGGUAACAGGGAGCUUGCUCCGCUGACGAGUGGCGAACGGGUGAGUAAUGCAUCGGAACGUACCCAGUCGUGGGGGAUAACGUAGCGAAAGUUACGCUAAUACCGCAUACGUCCUGAGGGAGAAAGCGGGGGACCGUAAGGCCUCGCGCGAUUGGAGCGGCCGAUGUCGGAUUAGCUAGUUGGUAGGGUAAAGGCCUACCAAGGCGACGAUCCGUAGCGGGUCUGAGAGGAUGAUCCGCCACACUGGGACUGAGACACGGCCCAGACUCCUACGGGAGGCAGCAGUGGGGAAUUUUGGACAAUGGGCGCAAGCCUGAUCCAGCCAUUCCGCGUGCAGGAUGAAGGCUUUCGGGUUGUAAACCCCUUUCUAGCAGGGACGAAUCAAGACGGUACCUGCAGA